rnacentral:rRNA from 1 species
CAAAAGCCGGAGGGAAUCACACUAUGCCAGGAGGCAUAUGCAAAGAAGAUUCUUGAAAGCUGUAGCAUGGAGGACUGCAAUCCAAGUCAUGUUCCAAUGGAGCCUCGACUUAAACUUAGCAAGAAAAGCCAAACGCCCGCGGUUGAUGCAACGGAGUAUAGAAGUGUGGUUGGAAGCCUAAGGUAUCUUGUGAAUACACGACCAGACUUGGCAUAUUCUGUUGGCGUAGUGAGUCGCUUUAUGGAAGCACCCACGACAGAACAUUGGGCAGCUGUGAAACAAAUACUCAGGUACAUCAAAGGGACAACUAACUUCGGUUGUGUCUAUUUGAGAGAGAAGCGGAAGGAGAUGGUGGAGCUACUUGGCUACAGUGAUAGCGACUUGGCAGGAGAGGCAUAUUUCUUGGGAAGAAGCAUAGUGAGUUGGCUAUCACAAAAGCAGAAGGUGGUCGCAUUAUCAUCCUGUGAAGCGGAGUAUAUUGCAGCUGCAACCGCGGCAGGUCAAGGUGUGUGGCUAGAAAGGCUACUCGGUGACCUCACUGACAAGGAACCGGAAGGAGUGGUGCUCUACGUUGACAACAAGUCCAUGCUUGCUCUAUGUAAGAAUCCAGUGCAUCAUGAUAGAAGUAAGCACAUUGAUAUAAGGUAUCACUACAUACGGGAUUGCGUGGAAGAAGGCAAGAUUGAAGUCAACUACAUUUGCACCGACGAUCAGCUUGCAGAUAUCCUGACCAAAUCUUUGGGACGACAAAAGUUC